AGCUAACACAGCUCUUGUACAAUUUUUCUAGCAAGUUUUCCACACUUUGGUUGGAAGACCCGU
ensembl:snRNA Gm24732 predicted gene, 24732